UACGGAGGGUGCUAGCGUUGUUCGGAAUCACUGGGCGUAAAGGGCGUGUAGGCGGUCUGUUAAGUCUGAUGUGAAAUCCCCUCGCUCAACGAGGGAACUGCGUCGGAUACUGGCAGACUCGAGUACCGGAGAGGAAGGUGGAAUUCCCGGUGUAGCGGUGAAAUGCGUAGAUAUCUGGAGGAACACCGGUGGCGAAGGCGGCGUUCUGGACUGCAACUGACACUGUAAAACGAAAGCCAGGGGAGCAAACGGG
rnacentral:rRNA from 1 species